rnacentral:tRNA from 2 species
GAGGCUUUAGUUUAAUGGUAAAACAUGUGACUUUUAAUCAUUAUAUUAUAGGUUCGAAUCCUGUAAGCCUUA